rnacentral:lncRNA from 1 species
UUGGUUUGCUCAUCUAUGGCAUAUAAAUAGUAAUAAAUACCUUACAGGUUCUUGUUAAAACGUUACUGCGUAGCUUUUCAAAAUGUCCUGUGCAGUGCUGAUCAGAUGGUCUGUGUUUAGUAUUUUUUAUCUGCAUCUGACUUCAGAUUAGAGAAGCCAGAAAGAAAAACAUCUCACCUGACAAAGAAAAUUAAAAUCAGCUGGUUGGGACCUCACCCUCACAUGCUAGGAAUUCCUUGCUUUGCACAUUAAUGUCUUCAUUAAAUAUUCAUGGGCAUUGUUCAUCUUUUCUGAAUCCGCCUUGGAACCCUUGAGGAAAAGCAUGUCCUGUGUCCCUCGGAAGGCUGCCCUGAGCCUGGAUGCCAGUGGUGGCAAUGGACACGCAGGUCCUUCCUGAAAAAUGUGUAUGCCUAUCUGAGGAUUUAAUCUGGGGAUUAAAUCUGAAUUUUUUGUGGUUUAAUUUUUCUAAAUAGGCCAAAAUUCAGAUGAAAUUCAAUUGCUCUAAUUAAUAUAUUUGAUUAUUUAUUCAAUAAAAUAAUGGUAAUAGGCACUUUUUGAACAUGUAGGUGUGCAAAGCACUGUUCUAAUUCACCUGCACAUGGCAUUGUUUGAAUUCUCAGAGUAUUUUUGUACUUGGACACUUUUAUUAUUCUCAGUAGACAGACAGUGACACACCGGGCAAGUGAGGUUAAGCAGCAGGCCCAAGACCACAGAGUUAGCAAGAGACGGAGCCCAGAUUCAAAGUGAGUUCUGCUGACUCCCAAGCUUAUGCAUUGAGCAAGACCCUAUCCGUUCUCAGUCUGUGCAUGAUACUUCAUAUAGAGGAAAUGUUCGAAUGCUCACUCCAUUUUUGUGUCCUUUUCUCAUUUCUCCUGGCUCUGUGUUUGGUUGGAGAUCUACCUGGGAAUGUUAUACCCUCACGGAGGUUCUGGAUGGACAGUCGGUUAACAAACAGGUAUUUUAUUUCUGAAGUAAUCCUGCCCAGUUGCUGUCCACCUGGGAAGGGAGGGCCAACAUGUCACAAAAAUGUCUCAGAAAUGCACCGGGAUGGCCCCACAAGCUGCUCUC